UUGUAUGGGCCGGCGUGUUUGCGUGUGUCUAGUGCGUACGUGUUUUGUGAGCGUGUUUAUGUAGGUCACUGUGUGUGUGUGCGUGCACGUGUUAGCGUGUCUGCCUGCAUGUAUGUGUGCUUGUUUGUGUUUAUCAAUGUGAGCGUGCGCGCUUUUGUGUCUGCGCUUUGCGAGUGCGUAUAUUUGUGUGUGCGUGCGUAUGUAUUGCAUAAGGCCGGUAGAGUUUUACUCACAAUAAACUCUUCCAAUUUGGUGCAGCGAGUGUUCCCGCCUGAAAGCCGAGUUUGGUUUCAAGCCACCCUGGACAACUGCUGUAUGAGGCGCCGUUUCUCGGGAGGACCAGUGGAAAGGCGUCAGGUCAUGCAGAUGAUAGCAGCAGUUACACAAUGCCUAGCCUUGGUGCCCUCCAUCAAGAGCAAGCCACUUGCAUUCGUCUUCAGACAGAUGGUUGAUGUCUUCUUGGAAGCAGUUUGGAAGACAACAUUGAUGCAAGAUUCCAGCGUAGCCAUGCGCUGCACUUAUAGGUCAAGGUGCUCAGAGAAUGGAGUCCCUGCAUCUCAUGG
rnacentral:lncRNA from 1 species